rnacentral:misc_RNA from 1 species
UCUCCGUAGGUGAACCUGCGGAAGGAUCAUUAAAGAACGCCCCGUUUUUUGAAAUGGGUAAUUCUAAACCGUGUAUACAUACCUUCGUUGCUUUGGCAGGCCGCCCCUCAGCGCGUCGGCUCCGGCUGACUGCGCCUGCCAGAGGACCCAAACUCUUUUGUUUAGUGAUGUCUGAGUACUAUAUAAUAGUUAAAACUUUCAACAACGGAUCUCUUGGUUCUG